UACAGAGGGGGGCAAGCGUUAUUCGGAAUUAUUGGGCGUAAAGGGCGCGUAGGCGGCUUUUCAAGUGACGGGUGAAAUCCCUCGGCUUAACCGAGGAACUGCCUGUCAGACUGGAAGGCUUGAGACCGGGAGAGGUGAGUGGAAUUCCCAGUGUAGCGGUGAAAUGCGUAGAUAUCAGGAGGAACACCGGUGGUGUAGACGGCUUUCUGGACCGUAACUGACGCUGAGACACGAAAGCGUGGGUAGCAAACAGG
rnacentral:rRNA from 1 species